AGGAUGAACGCUGGCGGCGUGCUUAACACAUGCAAGUCGAACGGUGAAAGAGGAGCUUGCUCCUCUGGAUCAGUGGCGAACGGGUGAGUAACACGUGAGUAACCUGCCCUUGACUCUGGGAUAAGCGUUGGAAACGACGUCUAAUACCGGAUACGAGCUUCAGCCGCAUGGCUAGGAGCUGGAAAGAACUUCGGUCAAGGAUGGACUCGCGGCCUAUCAGGUAGUUGGUGAGGUAACGGCCCACCAAGCCUACGACGGGUAGCCGGCCUGAGAGGGUGACCGGCCACACUGGGACUGAGACACGGCCCAGACUCCUACGGGAGGCAGCAGUGGGGAAUAUUGCACAAUGGGCGAAAGCCUGAUGCAGCAACGCCGCGUGAGGGACGACGGCCUUCGGGUUGUAAACCUCUUUAGUAGGAAGAAGCGAAAGUGACGGUACCUGCAGAAAAGCACCGGCUAACUACGCGCCAGCAGCCGCGGU
rnacentral:rRNA from 1 species